UCAGAUUGAACGCUGGCGGCAGGCCUAACACAUGCAAGUCGAACGGUAGCACAGAGAGCUUGCUCUCGGGUGACGAGUGGCGGACGGGUGAGUAAUGUCUGGGAAACUGCCUGAUGGAGGGGGAUAACUACUGGAAACGGUAGCUAAUACCGCAUAACGUCGCAAGACCAAAGAGGGGGACCUUCGGGCCUCUUGCCAUCAGAUGUGCCCAGAUGGGAUUAGCUAGUAGGUGGGGUAACGGCUCACCUAGGCGACGAUCCCUAGCUGGUCUGAGAGGAUGACCAGCCACACUGGAACUGAGACACGGUCCAGACUCCUACGGGAGGCAGCAGUGGGGAAUAUUGCACAAUGGGCGCAAGCCUGAUGCAGCCAUGCCGCGUGUAUGAAGAAGGCCUUCGGGUUGUAAAGUACUUUCAGCGGGGAGGAAGGUGUUGYGGUUAAUAACCGCAGCAAUUGACGUUACCCGCAGAAGAAGCACCGGCUAACUCCGUGCCAGCAGCCGCGGUAAUACGGAGGGUGCAAGCGUUAAUCGGAAUUACUGGGCGUAAAGCGCACGCAGGCGGUCUGUCAAGUCGGAUGUGAAAUCCCCGGGCUCAACCUGGGAACUGCAUUCGAAACUGGCAGGCUAGAGUCUUGUAGAGGGGGGUAGAAUUCCAGGUGUAGCGGUGAAAUGCGUAGAGAUCUGGAGGAAUACCGGUGGCGAAGGCGG
rnacentral:rRNA from 1 species